GUUUUUACAGCUACAUAUUUACUUCAACCGUUACCAAAACCAUCGUGUCCACAAACGACCUCAUGGAUGAAGUGCUGGGGGUGGGGUAAAGCAAACCUGUGAGUCAAAAACAAGUACUAGGACCUGACCCAGACAGUUCACAAAUCACUCACACCAGAGAAACACAGGCGUAGAGGCUGAUCCCCAGAAGGAGGUGGUACAGUCAAGCUUCUGAAACCCCGCGGCUGUCGGGGUCGGAGGGUUGCGCUGGGUCUCACCUUCUUGCCCCCUUUCAGGUCACUCAGGUGUCACUCACAAGGCUUCAUCAAAUGCACCCCAUGAGUGUGGAUGACUCCAGAGAAAACCUUCUGAGGGUUUCCAGAGACGCAUUUUUGCUCCUUCAGAGUAAUGGGAACAAGGGGUCACUCUGCUUCACGAUAAGGCAGUGACCCCACAUGCGUGUGCAGGUGAAACUGCUUUCUCUCUGGCCAGGAUAAAAGAGGAGGCUUACAGCCCUCCACCCAGCACCAGCAGUUGGCGACAGGGCUACGCGUUUGCCAGGACAGGACCCACUUGCACACACGGUUGUGUCAAGAGCUCUCUGCCUUGCAUGUCUAAUUAUAACAGAAAAGCACAAAUUCAGGGGAACAUUCUUCUGGUGUAUUUUUCCCACCUGUUACACAGUUCUGGUUCAGGACCAUGGCGACCUGGGCACAGGACUCCUCCAUCCUCCACCUGCAACAUGGCAAAGCCAUCUCAUGGUGAGCCUGAAAGAGAGUGUGGUGGGGGACAGAGAGGAGGAAGCCCGUCCCCAGCUGUUUUCUGUGGAACUCUGGAUACUUUUGUCUUCUGUAGAGAAUGAGGAUGAACUUGACAAAAAAUCCAGAAAGGCUGCUGUGGAUGGGGCACUGCAGGCCAUUCUCCCAGGGAGUUGGUCCCACUCUGACCAUCUUCUUCCCUGCUCUGCGAGGCAAUGGAGGGCCUCCGUGUAAGCAAACACCGUCGGGCUGUGCGUGUGUGAGACAAUGUGUGCCAAAUGCAAUCUCAUCAACCCAUCUGCCUUUCGACACCCGGGAGCUUGUCCAAGCAGAGAGAAAACAUUCAUCCAGAGUUUAGCAAAUAAUGCCAUCAAUUGAAACACGUUUACUUCCACUGAGAUGUCUUUAAAAGCAGAGUGAUUUUAAAAUAAUGGUUGGUUUUAAACUGCUUAUUUAGGUGUCACGAGUGCAUUUCAGUGGGAGUUUUUUGUUGUUGUUGUUGUUUUGUUUUUUAAGACAGAGUCUCGCACUGUCACCCAGGCUGGAGUGCAGGGAUGUGAUAUUGGCUCACUAAAACCUCCGCCUCCCAGGUUCAAGUGAUUCUUGUGCCUCAACCUCCCAUGUAGCUGGGAUUACAGGCAUGCCCCACCACAUUCUGCUAAUUUCUGUAUUUUGGACAGAGUUUUGCCAUGUGGUCCAGGCUGGUCUUAAACUCUGGACCUCAGGUGAUCCUCCCGCCUCAGCCCAUGGAGUAGAUGGGACCACAGGAGCCCGCCACCACGCCCGACUACUUGCUGUAAUUUUUGUAGGGAUGGGGUCUAGCCACGCUGCCCAGGCUGGUUCGCACUGCUGGGCUCAAGAGCUCCGCCCGCCUCCGCCUCCCAAAGCGCAGGGAUCACAGGUGUGAGCUACCGCGCCCCGCCCAGAGUUUCCGACUGUUAGCGUGAAUCAUAUUCACGUCAAAACUUCUUUUUAUACAAGAACUAAAAGGCAAACUAAAUCCCUGCUCCAUCACUGCCUGUCCCGGGUCGCGGCGCGGGACAUUUUCUCCAAGCGCCUUCCCGGCCCCGCGCGCAGGUGGCCUGCGCCGGAGGAUCCCGGACAACGCGCAUUUCCUGCGCCCCCGGAAGUGGCGGUAACGCCAGGCCCUGCCCCCGGCAGAGGCGGAAGCGCAGUCGCCCUGAGAGGUCUCCCGCGGCCGCAGGGUUGAUAAAGACAGGAGUGGAGUGAUAUCGGACGCCGAGCUUCAGCAAGCUGUCUCCAACGGAUGAAGCCCCACCCACCCUUCAGGAUGCCAGCCUUGGCGACGUUGUGAGACCCUGUUUCUACAAAAAGUAAACAAGUGUAGUGGUGCAUGCCUGUAGUCCCAGCUACUUGGGAGGCUGAGAUGGGAAGAUCACUUGAGCCUGGGAGGUUGAGGCUGCAUUGAGGUGAGAUCAAGCCAUGGCACUCCAGCCUGGGAGACAGAGCGAAACCCCAUCUCAAAAAAACAAAGAAAGCGGAUGCGCGCUGCUCCUGCCAUUGGAUCAUCGCAGCAUUUUUCUUUUCUCUGAUGUGCGCCUUUUUCCUCACCGUGGGGGCUCAUGUUUUCGUAGUUCCCUCUCGCUACUAGAUUGUGAGCUGCAUGAAGGAAAGUUCAUAGUUGUGUUGUAUGUACAGGCACACAAAAUUUGUCCUUGGAUAGGCACAUAUCAAUCCGCUUCCUUCUCCUCUCUGAAUUUCUUUAUUUAAAAAAAAAAUUAGAGAUGGAGUCUCACUGUCUUGCCCAGGCUGGUCUCAAACUCCUAGGCUCAAGCGAUCCUCCCACCUCUACUAAUAUGAAUUAUUAGCCUAUACUAAUAUGAAUUCCUAUAUUAAUAUGAUUGAAAUUAGUUUGACUUGUGUAAUAAUUGUUCUCCCAGAUUGGGCUUCUGUUUUGAUAGUAGAACUAAAUUAUUAGGCUAUUUCAAGAAAUUAAUAUAUUACUGGUAGAAAAACUGAAGCUACAAAAUAGCGUGGUUUCUCACUUCAGUUAAAUUUGUGCUUCUGAGUGCUGGUAUUCUAGGUGAGACGGCACUGAGAAGGUAUUUGUGGCCCGUACGCUGGUUCAUUGAUGAGACUUCUUUGUACACAAGAGCUGCUAAAAAUUACUGUGGUGAACAGGUAUGAAGAAGACUGUUCUCUGCCCUUCUUUUUGCAAUAAAAUGUUACAAACUGUCUUGAGUUUGAUCCCUUUUCGGGUGUUUGGGUUUUUUUUUUUUGACAUUCACAUAUUUCUUGGAAUUAUAAGAAAUUAACUUUGUGCUUCUGAUGUGGGUUUCCCUUAAUAUAACACUGAUGUAUUUGUAAGGGGCAUUUUUAAAGCUGUACUUUAAAAAAUAAUAAUUCUUACAUUCGUUUGAAGGUUUUUUUGUUUGUUUGUUUGAUUUUGAGGUGGAGGCUCACCCUGUCACCCAGACUGGAGUGCAAUGGCAUUGAUCUUGGCUCACUGUAACCUCUGCAUCUGGAGUUCAAGCGAUUCUCCUGCCUCAGCCUCCUGAGUAGCUGGGACCACAGGCACCUGCCACCACGCCCAGCUAAGUUUUUGUAUUUUUAGUAGAGACGGGGUUUCGCCAUGUUAGCCAGGAUGGUCUCAAUCUCCUGACUUCGUGAUCCACCCACCCCGGCCUCCCAAAGUGCUGGGAUUACAGGCGUGAGCCAGGGGGCCAACAUGGUGAAACCCUAUCUCUACUAAAAAUACAAAAUUAGCCAGGAAUGGUGAUGUGCGCCUGUAAUCCCAGCUACUCUGGAGGCUGAGGCAUGAGAAUCACUUGAACCCAGGAGGCAGAGGUUGCAGUGAGCUGAGAUAGCGCCACUGCACUCCAGCCUGGGGGACAGUGAGACUCCAUCUCAAAAAAAAAAAAACAAAAAAAGAAUAGAAUAACUCUUGUUUAGGUGUUACAAAAUCCAGGCCAGACAAAUCUAAACUUUAAUCUCACACCCAGUUCCUAGAUUAGUCCCUUCUCCAGCUCAGGUUCAGCCUAAGCCUCAGGGUUCCUUACUUGGUGGGCACCACCUGCUCCCUUCCCCACCUUUGUUCCUCUUUUUCCUCUGCUGGCUCCUCCGGGGUUGGGUGUGUUCAGAGGCAGAGACAGGCUAAAGGUCUUUGGCUUUUAGAUUCUGUUUGUGGGUGAGUUCCAGAUACUAGCUUUCUCUUGUGGGAUAUUUCAUUUAUCUAUUAAAAAUAUUUAUUUAGAACACUCCAUUCAUGUGCCAGACCCUGUUCCAGGCACUGGGGAGAGGGUGAUAAAUGAGAUCAACAAAAAUACCUGCCCACAUUAAGCUCCUGUUCUAGGGAAGACAAAAAAGAAAGAAAAUACACGUGUCCUUAGUACAUUAGAAGGUUCCAAGUACUGUAGAGAAAAAUAAAGUAGGUUGGACUCGGUGGCUCACGCCUGUAAUCCCAGAACUUUGGGAGGCUGAGGUGGGAGGAUUACUUGAGCUCAGGAAUUUGAGACCAGCCUGGGCAACAUGGCAAAUCCUGUCUCUACAAAAAAAAAAAAAAAAAAAAAGAAAAUUAGCUGGGUAUGGUGGCAUGCACCUGUAGUCCCAGCCACUGGGGAGGCUGAGGAGGGAGAAUUGCUUCAGCCCGGGAGGUGAAGGUUGCAGUAAGCUGAGAUCGUGCCAUUGCACUCCAGCCUGAGUGACAGAGCCAGACCCUGUCUCAAAAAAAAAGGAAAGAAAGAAAAUGAAAAAAAGAAAGCAGAGAUGGGGCAAGCAGGGGAGAGGGCUGGUGCUGGGGUCACAGUGGAGGGGCUGGGGAUGCAUGGGAGGGGCUGGGGAUGUGAGCUUUCCUGAGUUCCCACAGUUCUCUGCCCCUCUCCUGUCUCAUGGCACAAGGGCCCCCUGGGGCUUGCGGUGGUUUUGCGCCAAGCUAGUAUCUUGUUCUUCCCAACAGACGGAGGCCCUUUGAGGCUUCUCUGUCCUCCACGGGGAACAGCAUUGGGCUAAACCUGCAGACACCAUUGCAAAGGGAAUUCAGGCAAACCCGCUGGUGAAGAAUGAUUCCAGCGCGGGGACAGAGGCUGACAUUUCUUGCGUGGGUGAUUUAAUGUUGGGCCUCAAUUUUUCACUCCCCCCGUAAGAGUAUGACAUAGCCACAACCUUGCCAGGGCCCGAGGGAGGGUGGAUGGACUUAUCCAUCCCAUAGGUGUUGCUCGUGGCUGGGUGACUUGCUUCUGCCAAUCAGAUUUUCACAGACACGGCACAAGCAGAAGCCUGGAAUGUGUGGGCACUGCCAGGCCUGCCCUCUAAGGCUCUUGAUUUUCCCCAUGAGAUGCACGUGCCCCGGGGAACGGCGGCUCUGGCUGUGGGAUGAGAGGCGUGUGGAGCAGGCAUGGUUCCCAUCCUCAGCCUGGAGUCAAGGCCAGACUAGAUUAGCCUAAGCCCAGCCACGCCAUGGGUGCAGGAGUGAAGAGCAAAUGCUAACUGUCCAUGGAAUUGACUUUCAAAGGGGCGUGUCAUGUGCCUCAUCCCAGCAACAGGGAAGGCAUUUCUCUAUCAGUCAGUUGGUAAAUGAUUAUUGACAAACAAUGUGCUGGGAAGGUGGAGUGAUUUGAGUAGAUUUGGCCUCUAUUCUCAUGGAGCUUCCUUUCUAGAGGGGAAGGCAGAUGAUGGAUGGAUAAAUAUUAAUGAUUCUAACAGGUUGGUGCAGCAGUCAUUAAAAGUAAUGGCAAAAAAAAAAACAAAAGAAACGGGGAGGAGCCGGUGCUGCAGUUCAUUAAUAGUAAUGGCAAAACCCGCGAUGACUUGUGCACCAACCUAACCCAGUAACCACGGGUGUGCAAAUGUGGCGAUGGGCAAGUUCCGAGUGCUAGGAGAGCAUCUAGCUUCCCGGAGUCAGGAGACGGGGGUUGGCAACCUAACCAAGGUUAAGUCCAAGGGAGGGGGGUGGGCAGGGAGCGAUAUUUCAGUGGAGACUGCAAGGAUGAAUGGUAUUUAGAGAGUAAACCCCGAUAGAGAGGGUGUGUGUCUGGCACAGAGAAGAGCCUGUGCAAAAGCUGGUGGGGCGAGAGGACACCGUGUGUUCAUCCACCUGAGGGGCGACCAGCAGGCUGGAGCUCAGCGGGUUGAGAGGAGGAUGCAGAGCCCGGGAAAGGCACCCUAGGCAGAGGGCACAGAAGCGCAAAGGCCUGGAGUCAGGCCUGAGCCUGUGUGGUUUGAGGAACGGACAGAGGCCUGUCCGUCAGGAAGGGAACGGCACAGGGGAGAGACCUUAGGCCAGAGCAGAGGGCAGGGCCGUGCUGGGCACUGUGGGCUGUGGAUGGUGCUGGCAUUUAAGAGGGGAGACCAUAGACCAGGGCAGAGGGCAGGGCCGUGCUGGGCACUUUGGGCUGUGGAUGGGAGCUGGCAUUUAUGCUCAGGUGAUGGGAAUGUGUUAAAAGAUUUUAAGGAGGGGAGUAACAGUUGGGAUUAAUGUGUAUUCUGGGAAUCUCAACAAAGUAAAUUCAUAGUUUGAAUUUUCAUAAAACUUCUGCACAGGCAGAGAGAAAUAAGAUCGUGUCUACAGCUGUGUGAUGAUUUUAUUGAAAAACAUUACUAAGUUUUUAAACGUGAUUUCAAAUGGUGUGUUUCUGUUUCACAUUGGACAUAAGUAGAUUGCAAGGCUAAUGGAAAGUAGAAAAGUUAACUCAUGAACAUAAAAGAGAUAUCGAUUUGAAAACAAAACUUUUAUUCAUUUACUUCCGCUGCAGAUUUCUUGACUGCUGAAUUUCAUGAGAAGGGAUUGUUCAGGGAGGGACGUGGGGCUGAAGACCUGGAGAGGAGGUGGUGCUACCGCUGUUCAAAUCUGAGGGUGGUGGAGAUGGAGCCUUGGGGAGGAGCAGGUGCUGCCUUUUAAGUCUAUGAGAGUUGUUGAGCUGGAGGUCCAGGGAGGAGCCGGUGCUCCCACUCAUGUCUUAGGUUGUGGAGCUGAAGACAAUGAAGGAGCCAGUGUGGCUGUUCUGUGAGACUCGUGGAGCUGGAGAUCCAGGUGGGAGAGGUGUUUUAGCUCGGGGAGGAGCUGAUGUUCUAGUUUGAGUGUCAUGCACCUGCAGACCUGUAGAGGAGCUGAUGUUCUAGAUUGAGAGUCAUGCAGCUGCAGACCCAGGGAGGAGCUGAUGUUCCAGUUUGAGGAUCUUGCAGCUGCAGACCUGUAGAGGAGCUGAUGUUCUAGAUUGAGGGUCAUGCACCUGCAGACCUGUAGAGGAGCUGAUGUUCUAGAUUGAGGGUCGUGCAGCUGAAGACUUGGGGAGGAGCUUUAGUUGUUCGCGUUGAGGGUCUUUCAGUUGGAGACUCAGGGAGGAGCUGAUGUUCUAGAUUUAGGGUCACGGAACUGGAGACCUGGACAGAAGUUGAUGUUCUAGUUUGAGUGUCUAGCAGCUGCAGAUCCGGAGAGGAGCUGAUGUUCUAGUUGGAGGGUCUUGCAGCUGCAGACCUGUAGAGGAGCUGAUGUUCUAGUUUGAGGGUCGUGCAGCUGAAGACCCGGGGAGGAGCUGAUGUUCUAGUUUGAGGAUCUUGCAGCUGCAGACCUGGAGAGGAGCUGAUGUUCUAGAUUGAGGGUCGUGCAGCUGCACACUUGGAGAGGAGCUGAUGUUCUAGAUUGAGGGUCUUGUGGCUGCAGAUCCGGAG